rnacentral:tRNA from 4 species
GGGCGCGUAGCUCAGCGGGAGAGCACUGCAUUGACAUUGCAGGGGUCACUGGUUCAAUCCCAGUCGUGCCCACCA